rnacentral:rRNA from 1 species
AACGAACGCUGGCGGCGCGCUUAACACAUGCAAGUCGAGCGGACCCGCAAGGGUCAGCGGCGAACGGGUGCGUAACACGUGGAUAAUCUGCCCUGGAGUGGGGGAUAACUCGCCGAAAGGCGAGCUAAUACCGCAUGAGCCCACGGCUUCUUCGGAGGCUGAGGGAAAAGGAGCAAUUCGCUUCAGGAUGAGUCCGCGGCCCAUCAGCUAGUUGGCGGGGUAAUGGCCCACCAAGGCAACGACGGGUAGCUGGUCUGAGAGGACGACCAGCCACACUGGAACUGAGACACGGUCCAGACUCCUACGGGAGGCAGCAGUGGGGAAUCUUGCGCAAUGGGCGAAAGCCUGACGCAGCGACGCCGUGUGUGCGAUGAAGGUCUUCGGAUCGUAAAGCACUGUCGCCCGGGAAAAAGAAAUGAUGGUACCGGGAGAGGAAGCACCGGCUAACUCUGUGCCAGCCGCCGCAGUAAUAC